UUCCAAGACACAUAGAUUUUGUCAUCCUCCUCAGAAAUGCUUGCCAAUGCUACUAUUAGAAUAUAGUACUUAGACUAGUAUUAGUAAACGUAUUCCUUCAAGGAACUGAAACUCUUACUCAUACUUGAAAAAAAUUAAAGCUAGAGUAUAAAGGUAUAGGUAAAUCUAUAAUAGAAUACACAAACCAUGUAGUCUUCUCUAAUUAUGAAAGAAAUAACUCUAAUCUUAGAUUGUCGAGAACCCAGUGUUGCCUCUAGUCUAUAUUGCCAAAAGUUUGGAAAUGUCAUCUUAGACACAGGAAUCUAGAAGUGGAUAAAGAGCAGCAACAAAGCCCUUCAAAAGAGAGUAACUUACAACUAGUUAAAAGUGUCCUUCCUUCUACAAUAGCCCAGAGUGGAUAAUGCAGGGCUGUUCUACUAUCUUCACAUGUGGUUUUUAUCUGAAGAAUACACGUCUCUUCUAUGUCUUUCAUUUAUUCCCCAGCACGACAAGAAAAAGGAUAAGAAUAACAUAAUCUCAUCCUUCACUGGCACGACAUCGCUUCAGUUCCCACUGCACUGCCAAACUUAAUCACUAAAUCAUGCCAGCUGCAAAGAAGGUAGAGCAUAUGAUCCCCAGCCAGGCAGCAUGAACCGUGGAGGACAGGGAAUUUAUGUUACUGACAGAGGAAGCCGCAGGAUUUAGGUCUCGGGAAAAUGGACAUCGUGGUCAGAAAUGCAACAAGGACAGAGAAGAUCUGAAUAUUACUAACCUACUGAAUCUGGCUGAAAGUUAUAAAGCAUUCCACUUAGCAUUACCAGAACAUGUUUCUUUUGAUGUGCACAAGCAUUUAUUCUGAUAGACCUGAUGCUGAGUCAUAAAAUAACUUUAACAAGGUACAAGAAGUGAAAUCAUGCAAAACAUAGUCUCUGACCUUAAGAGAAUUCAACUAGAAGCCGGGAAGAGAAAAACAUCAGGAUAAGGUUCAAACAUUUGGAAUUUAUAAUGGGCUUCUAAAUAAUCUACCAGUCAAUGAAUAAGGUUCAAGA